rnacentral:lncRNA from 1 species
AUUGUACUUAGGAUGUGGUACUUCAGGACCAAGAAUUGUGUAUGCUUCAAGCAACUUAAAUCUUUCAAGUUAAGUCAUAUAAAUCACAUAAUAGACUUAAGAUGCAUAUCAAGUUUUCAUGUCAUGCUAACAAAUAAGAUAUCGAAAACUGAUUAUAGAUACCUUUGACUUUAUGCUUUCAAGUAUUUGAACUAUAUGUCCAAAUCUACAUGUCUUUCAUA